GCAAGUCGAGGGGCAGCAUUAUCUGCUUGCAGAUAGAUGGCGACCGGCGCACGGGUGCGUAACGCGUAUGCAACUUACCCCUAACAGAGAGAUAGCCCCGGGAAAUCGGGAUUAUACCUCAUAAUAUUUAUUUAUGGCAUCAUAGAUAUUUUAAAGUUUCGACGGUUAGGGAUGGGCAUGCGUCCUAUUAGUUAGUUGGUAAGGUAACGGCUUACCAAGACAUCGAUAGGUAGGGGGCCUGAGAGGGUGAUC
rnacentral:rRNA from 1 species